GAAGGAGAAGUCGUAACAAGAUUUCCGUAGGUGACUGCGGAAGGAUCAUUGUUGAU
rnacentral:rRNA from 1 species